rnacentral:rRNA from 1 species
AAGUCGUAACAAGGUUUCCGUAGGUGAACCUGCGGAAGGAUCAUUAAAGUGCCAGCGGGACACCCCGCUAAAGGCCCCACACUUGUCUACCGAACCACGUUGCCUCGGCGGGACCGCCCCCCUAGGGGGGCCGCCGGGGGGAUUUAACCCCCCCUGGUCAGCGCCCGCCGGAGGACAUAUAACCAAAACACCCUGUAACAGUGAGUAGUCUGAGCGAUUAUUUAAAUGAAUCAAAACUUUCAACAAUGGAUCUCUUGGUUCCGGCAUCGAUGAAGAACGCAGCGAAAUGCGAUAAGUAAUGUGAAUUGCAGAAUUCCGUGAAUCAUCGGAUCUUUGAACGCACAUUGCGCCCCCUGGUAUUCCGGGGGGCAUGCCUGUCCGAGCGUCAUUGCAACCCUCAAGCACGGCUUGUGUUAUGGGCCCUCGUCCCGCUAAUUUUAGUGGACGUGCCCGAAAUGCAGUGAUCGCCGCCGCGACUCCGGCGCCCGAGCGAAUGGGAAUAUCAACCACCGCUCAGUGGGCCCGGCCGGUGGCUUCGGUCUCAAACCACAAUUUUCUAAGGUUGACCUCGGAUCAGGUAGGGAUACCCGCUGAACUUAA